rnacentral:rRNA from 1 species
UACAGAGGGGGCAAGCGUUGUUCGGAAUUACUGGGCGUAAAGGGCGCGUAGGCGGUCGGCCAAGUCCGGGGUGAAAGCCCCCGGCUCAACCGGGGAAGGGCCUUGGAUACUGGCCGGCUGGAGGGAGGUAGGGGCAGCUGGAACUUCCGGUGGAGCGGUGAAAUGCGUUGAUAUCGGAAGGAACGCCGGUGGCGAAAGCGAGCUGCUGGCCCUCUUCUGACGCUGAGGCGCGAAAGCCAGGGGAGCGAACGGG